rnacentral:lncRNA from 12 species
GUACACAGAUUUAUCAUUUUUUUUUAGACUAAAAAUGUGGACUCUACACGUUCAGGGGCUCACAUCAAUUGGUGAAUCUAAAGAAAACUUGUUGCCGUAGCUUGGGAAAUUUGGCCUCCAGACUCUCUUCUUUCUGCUGCUUGAGAACAAAGCUGGUGAGUUG